rnacentral:rRNA from 1 species
AGUGAACGCUGGCGGUAGGCCUAACACAUGCAAGUCGAACGGCAGCACAGUAAGAGCUUGCUCUUACGGGUGGCGAGUGGCGGACUGGUGAGGAAUACAUCGGAAUCUACUUUUUCGUGGGGGAUAACGUAGGGAAACUUACGCUAAUACCGCAUACGGCCUACGGGUGAAAGCAGGGGAUCUUCGGACCUUGCGCGAUUGAAUGAGCCGAUGUCGGAUUAGCUAGUUGGCGGGGUAAAGGCCCACCAAGGCGACGAUCCGUAGCUGGUCUGAGAGGAUGAUCAGCCACACUGGAACUGAGACACGGUCCAGACUCCUACGGGAGGCAGCAGUGGGGAAUAUUGGACAAUGGGCGCAAGCCUGAUCCAGCCAUACCGCGUGGGUGAAGAAGGCCUUCGGGUUGUAAAGCCCUUUUGUUGGGAAAGAAAAGCAGCAGGUUAAUACCCCGCUGUUCUGACGGUACCCAAAGAAUAAGCACCGGCUAACUUCGUG